rnacentral:rRNA from 1 species
UACAGAGGUCUCAAGCGUUGUUCGGAUUCAUUGGGCGUAAAGGGUGUGUAGGUGGCGCGCUAAGUCGGGUGUGAAAUUUCGGAGCUUAACUCCGAAACUGCAUUCGAUACUGGCGUGCUUGAGGACUGGAGAGGAGACUGGAAUUCAUGGUGUAGCAGUGAAAUGCGUAGAGAUCAUGAGGAAGACCAGUGGCGAAGGCGGGUCUCUGGACAGUUCCCGACACUGAGACACGAAGGCCAGGGGAGCAAACGGG